UUGUCGCUGCCGCGUUAGAAGUGUCUUUUGCCCCGCCUGGCCCCUGUAAUCCCAGCACUUUGGGAGGCCGUGGCGAGCGACGCCGGCGGAUCACCUGAGGUCAGGAGUUGACGACCAGCCUGGCCAGUAUGGUGAAACCCCGUCUCUACUAAAAAAAAAAAAAUUAGCGGGGCAUGGUGGCUCUCGCCUGCAGUCCCAGCUACUCAGGCGGCUGAGGCAGGAGAAUCACUUAAACCUGGGAGGCGCAGGUUGCAGUGAGCUGAGAUGGCGCCACUGCACUCCAGCCUGGGCAACAAGAGCCAGACUGCGUCUCAAACAACAACAACAAAAAAGUGCCUUUCACCUCCACCCAUGAUUCUGAGGCCUCUCCAGCCGUGUGGAACUGUCGUACACGCCUACCCAUUUCCUUCUUAUCAGAAGAGUGAAAACACUGCAGAAAACCACCUCUUCUGUUUGUAUUUUACUUCCGGAAACAUAUACAUCCCAUCAACCCUCUCUAUCUUCAGUUUACUAGUGAAUAAAGAAGGACUUAAAGAGAGAAGAGUCAUGACUUUUGCUCAGUCAUUAAAAUAAGAGACACAAGGAUUGGUAUGGGGUAUCCCUAGCAGAAUUUAUUCAAGGAAGCCUAAUCAAUAUCCCCCAUCUCACUAUUUCUUCAGACACGUGCUAAGUUUACAUAUUCGAAUCAAAUUAACAUAUCAGAGUCACAAAUUGGCAAUGGUGUCAAAAUACCUAUCCUCACCAUUCUAAAUCAUUUUUCACAUUAAAUAUGUCAAGGGCUAUGUUUGCGUGCAUAAGUCAAAAGAAGAGAAAUAAAGCAAUACAUUAAGAAGUUGGUGACAUAAGCUUAUUUAUUUAGUUAUUUAUUUUUGCCUAUUACUGGUAGAGAAAAAUGUAUUUAGUUUGCUCUAUUACAGGUAGAGAAAAAUUAUAUUUUGUUGUUCUGAGUGAAACCAGUGAUAAUCAUUUUACCUCUUCUUUUAAGUAGUAUAGAAGUCUAACAUUUUCAUUGCUUAUUGCCAGAACUUAAGUGCUAAGAUUUUUUCUAUAUUGUCUGAUUUGAUUCAUACAUAUAAUGUUGAGAUUCAAGAAUUAUUAUCCCAUUUACCAGAUGAGGAAGUGGAGGUACAGAAGUUUUAGAAAAGGGAAUUAGCCUCCGCUUCUAUUCUAUUAAGCCACUAUAUUUCAGAAGGCAUAGAGUAUCUAUUUUGCAUUUGGGUUGGGGGAGAUGGAGAUUUGCCCUAACUUUGAUUCUUUUAGGUCAAGAAUAAUUUCUUUCAGAACCCGGAUGGUUUUCUUAUUUCCAUAAAAUGGGUUGCCACAUUAGGCCUCAGAGUCCACCAAAUGAACGGUUCUUCUCUUCUGCUGUCCCUCAAAUUUGUGAUAUGUAAAAUAUGUGUGAAGAUGCAGAUAACAUGUGGGAUCUCAUUGGCUCUACCAUUCCUUAGAGAAAAUGUAAUUGUUAUUGAUUCUAACUGAUCAUUCAAAAAUUAAGUUCCUCCAAAUUUACUCUUUUUCUAAUUGAAGGUUCCAGCUGCCAUGGGAUUGAGAUUUCCUAUUUUUUUUUUUCUUGUCCCGAAACUCUCUGUCAAAGAUUUUAUUUCUCUAGGCAACCAGCUGGUUUUUCACAUAGAUAAGGUCAAUUAAUUUGACCUUUGGUUCAAUAUGAAAUGCAUAAUAAAAGCUGGUGCCCCAAGGACCGGAUGUGGCCUUUCAAAAAAGUAACUUGCCAGGACAGGGAACAAUAAUUUAUUACCUCAUAAACCCCAGUUGAAAUGCCUGUUGCCCAGCAUAGCAAUGACAAGGAGCUUGUGUGUCUUUAUUUAUUUAUUUUUAUUCUAUGCAAUAGAGAGAGGGGAGGAAAAUAAAAAAAUAAAUAAAUAAAACAAGCACCUGCCCCAUUCAGGGAGGAAAAAUGGCAAAGGCAAAAAAGAUCUACUCGUACUGCUUGAAUUUUUGUUUUAUAGCAAGUUUUCAUCCACUACACAAAAAUUCUUAGAGACAGGCUCGGGAAAGUUUAUUAUCAACUAUAAAAUUUUGUUAAAUUGUAUUUCAUCGCUUGAAUUUUGAGAGAUACAGGAAAUCUUUGUGAAGCGAUUUGAAAUAGAGAACCAAAAUUGCUAUGUAUAGUCAACAUCCAAAAUGACUACUAAUCAGGAUAAAUUUAUCUAUGGAUCUGUUUGGUGGAUAUAUUUAUAUAUCUAAUUUUAACAAAUUCAUGAGGCUGUGAACUCUUAUAUUUCAGUUUUUACUUAAUUCUGUAUCGCUAUCAUUCUGUAUGCCAUUAGCAUCCUUCAUAUGUGGUAUUUAUUCCUUUGCAUAAAUGUGUUAUAACUGGCGUUUGUGUCUAGUUUUAUCUGAUAUUUUAAACAACCCUGAAUGAAACUCCUUUACAUAAGUCAUUGAUCACAUCCUUGAUUAUGUCUUAGAAAUGGGCGAUCUCAACAAAACAUACAAAUAUCUUAAAGCUAUUGAAAACUAUUCUCUCAGUAUAAUUCACCAUUUCUAGCCACCAUGUAGUUUUUAAUCCAUUCCUUCAGCUGUUCCUUUGAAAUAGUACUUUUAGUAUACGUGGAAUUAUGGAUAAAACAGACUGUAGAAAAUAUUUAAACCUCAAAAUGUAGACACGUGCCUAAAACGAAUCUUAGCUCUGUGAAUGCCCUUCAUUGGGGAAUUUUUACAGAUAAUGAGAUGCAAGUUUUGGAACUCCAGUGGGAGUUUUGAAUAAGGGGCAAUUUCUGAGUAAUGGUGUAAUGGAGUCAUAGUAAUGGUGCAAUAGAGUAAUGGUGUAAUACCCCACAGUGUGGGGUACAAGAGAAGCUUUGAGAAUCUAGAAUGCACCAGGUCCUUUUAGGUAGGAGACAAAAAAUGCAGCCAAAGUGGGGAAGGGGUGGAAAGGAAAAUAAAAUAGUCCUGGAAACAAACAAACCUAUUACAAAAUUUUUACACAGCUACUUGUGUGACCUUCUGGUGAGAAUGCAACUUAGAAUCACUUUCCUAGAGAGCUACUUGGGAAUAUCUAUCUAAAGGCUUAAAUAACAGAUACUCUGUCUAAGCAAAUACAAUUUGAAGUCUUCAUACCCAGAAAAUCAUCAUCGAUAUCCCA
rnacentral:lncRNA from 1 species